rnacentral:rRNA from 1 species
CACGUAGGAGGCGAGCGUUAUCCGGAUUCACUGGGCGUAAAGCGCGUGCAGGCGGUUCGGUAAGUUAGGCGUGAAAUCUCCCGGCUCAACUGGGAGAGGUCGUCUAAUACUACCGAACUUGAGAGCGAUAGAGGAAAAUGGAAUUCCCGGUGUAGUGGUGAAAUGCGUAGAUAUCGGGAGGAACACCAGUGGCGAAAGCGAUUUUCUGGAUCGUUUCUGACGCUCAGACGCGAAAGCUAGGGUAGCAAACGGG